ACCCCUACGGGAGGCAGCAGUGGGGAAUCUUAGACAAUGGGCGGGAGCCUGAUCCAGCCAUGCCGCGUGCAGGAAGACUGCCCUAUGGGUUGUAAACUGCUCUUGUACGGGAAGAAUAAGCGCUACGUGUAGCGCGGUGACGGUACCGUAAGAAUAAGGAUCGGCUAACUCCGUGCCAGCAGCCGCGGUAA
rnacentral:rRNA from 1 species